UGUAAUUUAUAUCGUAUUCUAAAGACAGCAGGCAUGUGUAAACUGUAAGUCCGGCCGAGGAAUUGCAAUUAAGUCAAUAAGAUUUAUUGUCCUUUCUCGUGUUGUCGGGAAAGGCUUUUUUAUUGCACU
rfam:Ruminococcus sp. CAG:624 genomic scaffold, scf364